GGGGGCACAAACCAGGGGGUGGCGACUGUUUACUAAAAACACAGGGCUCUGCGAAGUCGCAAGACGACGUAUAGGGUCUGACGCCUGCCCGGUGCCUGAAGGUUAAAAGGAGGGGUGAGAGCUCCGAAUUGAAGCCCAGGUAAACGGCGGCCGUAACUAUAACGGUCCUAAGGUAGCGAAAUUCCUUGUCGGGUAAGUUCCGACCUGCACGAAUGGCGUAACGACUUCCCCGCUGUCUCCAACAUAGACUCAGCGAAAUUGAAUUGCCUGUCAAGAUGCAGGCUUCCCGCGGUUAGACGGAAAGACCCCGUGCACCUUCACUACAGCUUCGCACUGGCAUCAGGCACAACAUGUGCAGGAUAGGUGGUGGGCUUUGAAGCAGGGACGCUAGUUCCUGUGGAGCCUCCCUUGAGAUACCACCCUUGUUCUGCUUGAUGUCUAACCGCGGUCCGUUAUCCGGAUCCGGGACCCUGCGUGGCGGGUAGUUUGACUGGGGCGGUCGCCUCCUAAAGAGUAACGGAGGCGCGCGAAGGUUGGCUCAGAGCGGUCGGAAAUCGCUCGUUGAGUGCAAUGGCAGAAGCCAGCCUGACUGCGAGACUGACAAGUCGAGCAGAGACGAAAGUCGGCCAUAGUGAUCCGGUGGUCCCAAGUGGGAGGGCCAUCGCUCAACGGAUAAAAGGUACGCCGGGGAUAACAGGCUGAUACUGCCCAAGAGUCCAUAUCGACGGCAGUGUUUGGCACCUCGAUGUCGGCUCAUCUCAUCCUGGGGCUGGAGCAGGUCCCAAGGGUAUGGCUGUUCGCCAUUUAAAGAGGUACGUGAGCUGGGUUUAGAACGUCGUGAGACAGUUCGGUCCCUAUCUGCCGUGGGUGUAGGAUACUUGAGAGGAGUUGCCCCUAGUACGAGAGGACCGGGGUGAACGAUCCACUGGUGGACCUGUUGUUGCGCCAGCAGCAGUGCAGGGUAGCUAUGAUCGGACAGGAUAACCGCUGAAGGCAUCUAAGCGGGAAGCCCCCCUCAAAACAAGGUAUCCCUGAGGGCCGUGGAAGACCACCACGUCGAUAGGCCGGAGAUGUAAGCAUGGUAACAUGUUCAGUUGACCGGUACUAAUUGCCCGAUAGGCUUGAUUUG
rnacentral:rRNA from 1 species